UAAAGACAAUAAAAAUCUAACUACAUGUUUCUGAAUCUGCACGUCUAACAGUGGUUCAUAUAUUUGAACCACUGUUGGGCGGAUGAUUUGAGGCCUGAAUGCUGAUUGACUGAAAGCCGUGGAAUGUCAGACCAACAAAAUAUUUAUUUGUACCGCUCUAGUUACGUUGGUAAACCAGUUUAUAAUAGCAAUAAGGCACCUCGGGGGGGUGUAAUAUAUGGCCGAUAUACCAAAAGGCAAAGGGCUGUGUCCUAGCACUCCGCGUUGCGUCGUGUUUAAGAACAGCCCUAAGCCAUUGUUUAUUGGCCAUAUAACACACCCCCUCGGGCCUUAUUGCUUACAUAUAGCGUGUUGAUUUGUUAUUAUGCAUUACUGCAUCCAGGAGCGCCUUCUUACGGUUUUCCUGCAUGCUCAAGUCAUUGUGAUGCCUGGGAGAGGAGCGAGAACUCUCAUACAAUAAAACAACCUGAUCUCCGAAGUCCACGUUUUUAAUCUCAAUCACACACAGCGGAGCAGUACAGCACCGGUUACAUUGGUGCCUUCUAGACCCGGAUUCAUCGAUGAUCAACGUCAGCUCGAUCACCGUGGAGCUGCUGCUCCAGAGACUGUUUACAUCAUGAGAGCACCCUCGUCUGAGUGUGCCAGAGCAAAGAAUUACUGAUGAAUUGUCAAACCCGCGUUGAAUAUGACCGGUAUCAGUAAACGUCGGCAGAAACUUCAGUCAUCAACGCUCUAAACAACAGGAAAACAGCCUAACCAACAAUGCUAGGCCAAAACCUUAUCCUCAGCUUUUUGGCUUUGCCACGACCACCACCACUGUCACCCAAGGGACAUCCAGCCAUCUUAACACAACUUUAGGAAGCAUUGGUGUCAACAUGGACCAGCAUCCCUGUGGAACUCUUUAGACACCUCGUAGAGUCCACGCCUCGACGAAUUGAUGCUGUAUGAGAGCAAAAGGAAUGCAGCUCAAUAUUAGGAAGGUGUUCCUUAUGUUUUGUACACUCAGUGUAUAUUUGGCUUCGUUUUAGGUAAUUAUCCUCCUGAAAGUUGAGUUUGUCUCCCAGUGUCUGUUGGAAAGCAGACUGAACCAGGUUUUCCUCUAGAAUUACGCCUGGACUUGGCUCUUUUCUGUUUCUUUAAAUCCUAAAAUAACUCCCAAACCCAUAACAUGAUACAGCCACCAUCAUGCUUGAAAAUAUGAAGAGAUAUACUCAGUUAUGUGUUGGAUUUGCCAACACAUAGGCUUCCUUUUCACUCUGUCAAUUGUGUUAUUAGUCCCUCCUUUCCAUUGGAAAAUCUCCCUGGUCUUUGUGGUUGGAUCUGUGUUUAAAAUUCACUGAGGGACCUUACAGAUCAUUUUAUGAGGUACAGAGAUUGGAUAGUCAUUCAAGAGUUAAACACAAUACUUGCACACAGAGUGAACCCAUGCAAUUUCUUAUGUUUCUUGUUAAGCUAAUAUUUAAUCCUGCAUUUAUGCUGAAUUUAUUUGUGCUUGCCAUAACAACAAUGUUGAAUAUUUGUUGACUCAAGACAUUUCAGCUUUUCAUUAAUUAAUAUAUAAACAUUUUUAAAAACAUAAUUCCACUUUGAUAUUAUGGGGUAUUGUGUGGAGAUCAGUGACACAAUUUCAAUUUAAUCUAUUGUAAAUUCAGGCUGUAACAACAAAAUGUGGAAAAGGGACCCCUUCCCUUUUCCCACAUUUUGUUACGUUACAGCCUUAUUCUAAAACUGAUUAAAUUAAUAAGUAUUCAGACCCUUUGCUAUGAGAUUUGAAAUUGAUUUCGGGUCCAUCUUGUUUCCAUUGACCAUCCUAGAGAUGUUUCUAGAACUUGAUUGGAGUCCACCUGUGGUAAAUUCAAUUUAUUGGACAUUAUUUUUAAAGGCACACACCUGUCUAUAUAAGGUUCCACAGUUGACAGUGCAUGUUAGAGCAAAAACCAAUCCAUGAGGUCGACGCAAUUGUUCAUAGAGCUCUGAGGCAGGAUUGUGUCGGCACAGAUCUGGGGAAGGGUACCAAAAAAUGUCUGAAGCAUUGAAGGUCCCCAAGAACACAGUGGCCUCCAUCAUUCUUAAUGGAAGAAGUUUGGAACCACCAAGACUCUUCCUAGAGCUGGCCGCCCGGCAAAACUAAGGAAUCGGGGGAGAAGAGCCUUUGUCAGAGAGGUGACCAAGAACCCAAUGGUCAAUCUUACAGAGCUUCAGAGUUCCUCUGUGGAGAUGGGAGAACCUUCCAAAAGGACAACCAUCUCUGUAGCACUCCACCAAUCAGGCCUUUGUGAUAGAGUGACCA